rnacentral:rRNA from 1 species
UAGGGAAUCUUCCACAAUGGGCGCAAGCCUGAUGGAGCAACACCGCGUGAGUGAAGAAGGGUUUCGGCUCGUAAAACACUGUUGUAAGAGAAGAAUGACAUUGAGAGUAACUGUUCAAUGUGUGACGGUAUCUUACCAGAAAGCCACGGCUAACUACGUGCCCG